UUUUGUGAACUGAAAUCUGUUAGGCUUUCCAAAAUCCAGAAAGCUGAUUAGGUGUGCAGAAGCAGCAGACUUGUAAAUGUGAAGGAGCUAUUUGCUUAGUUAUGCAGUAGAAUUCACCACCCUGCGGCAAGCUUCAUUAAAGCUGUGAACAGCCAAGCUAACCAUCUUCAGGGCAAGUGGCUGCAUCAAGCAAACCCAGUGACAUUCCAAAGAGGAAUGUCAGUCAAAAUAAAAACUUAAUACCUAAAUCUCGGAAAAUCAGACAAUUAAGCCACAAAUCUUGUGACCAAUUUUUCAGUUGCUGUGCUUAGUGCGAUAAAGUUAUAUGGCAAUAAACUGAAAAGCUAUGGCAGGUAUUCUAUUGUACCCUUUAAUGAAAUCAAUUUAAAGCAAGCUUAUCAUAUGAUAAGCAAAAUGAUUGUAUCAUUGGAUGGUAAUGAUUGCAUUGCUGGGUAUGCAGGCUAUGGUUCUACAAUGAGCCAAAUGUAAUAUCUCAGUAUGCUGUGACUAUUAAAAUUAUAAAUUAUGUAUUAUUACUUCAUAUUGGUCAUUAUGUUCCAAAAUAAAUGCUCUUUUUAUAUAGAACUAUAUAAAUGUAGAAAAUCUGAGAAGUUAAUUUUAUAUGGAAAGCCUUCGUGCAAAAUUAAUAGCAUCUUGUUAAUUUCAUAUAUGUUUUGUGAAAGUAAUUGCUGCUGAAUCUAGAAUUAAUGCAUUAUCUGAGAUUUGAGACAAAAUUUGUCAAAUUAGAAGAUAGUGAAAUAGAUAAAUAGGAAAUGAAACAUGAAAUUUAUAUAUUUAAUAUUGAAAUAAAUAUCUCAGUAAAGUGGCUGUAUGUAAAGUAUAAUGAUGCAAUUUUUAUAAUUUUUUACUAAAAUGCUAAAAUUAUGUGCUAUGAAAAUUUUAUUUUCAUUAAUAUUUAUAAUUUUUUCCUCGCAAAUUUUUAUCCAAGGUGUAUAUGUUUUAGCUAUUUUAGAUUUUUCUGUUUUAAUGUUAAAAAUAUCUUCUUUAUCAGCAUUACAUUAAAAUCCAUCUCAUAAUCAUUUGAAAAUGAAGGAAAUUUCAUUCUUUUCAAUAGUUUAAGAAUAUUUUCAUAAAACAUAAUUAUAGAAAAAAUGAACUGAUACAUUUUUAGUUAUAUAUAUGUAAAGAAAAUUUUUUAGAAGGAUCCUUUUUUCCAUACCAGAAACAUUUCAUGAGCUGUAAUAUGUAAUAUUAGUUGGCCUAAUAUGUAAAAGGAAUGUUUAAUCAAAUUAUUUUUAUUAUGCUUUUAUAAAUAUCACUAUAAUUUUAAGAGUUAUUGAAUUUAAAAGUGAAAGAAAAAGCUACAGUUAUUUCAAGACUCUUUAAUAAAACAAUUCUUUAUUCUUGUAUUCUCGUAUGAAAAUUUUCUGUAUAUUUAACAUAAAAUUGUAUGCAUGUAAAUAAAUUUUUUAAUUUAUUAUUAUCAUUC
rnacentral:lncRNA from 1 species